CCCCCUUUCUUUGCAACUCUCCUUCUCCCCCAUUCACUUCUAAUCAUCCUCCGUUCUUUCUGAAAUUGCUUAUCUUAUGUUUUUGACUCUGAGUUUCCUUUUGAGAAAGUACCCUACUCUUCACUGCUUGAUUUCAUUUUGUUUCUAAUAAACCUUAAAUCUAGCCCAUUAAAAGCUCAAAAAUCCUAAAUUGAAAACCCUAAAACAAUUUAGGGUUUUGAGUUACUUCUGAAAUUGAAGACUGGCAUUUCAAAUCAAACACGUACAAAAGGAAUAAUAUUCGAGGCAGCACUUUUGAGAGGUUUGUGUGGAGUCCACCCAUAAAAUGAAUGCUCUGUUCUGCUAUUGCGAAUUCCAUUUUCGAAGGGAUUGAUCGAAGAAGUGCAGCUGCUGUUGCCAAAUGUGGAACACAGAUUCUGUGCCAGGCAUAUGUAUGCUAAUUGGAAAAAAUCACAUAAAGGUGGUGACCUACAGUUGCUGUUCUGGGCGUGUUGCAAGUCUACUACUGAAGCACAAUUUCAUAGAAAUGCUUCAAGAAUUGGUUACGAGUCAAGGUGGUCAAACUGCAUCUGCUCACCCAAUGCAUAGUGUCUCUUCUCGACAAAUUCAAGUGUUGUUAUGUUAUUGAUAAUUUUCUAUGUGAUUGAUAUAUUAAAAAUUCAUGAAAUAGUGACUAUAAGUUUUUGUUAUGUUAUUGAUAUAUUGAAACUAAAAGUGGUAAAAAAAAUAGCAUGGAUUGGAUAGACCAAA